CCUACGGGUGGCAGCAGUGAGGAAUAUUGGUCAAUGGGCGGGAGCCUGAACCAGCCAAGUCGCGUGAGGGAUGAAGGUUCUGAGUAUUGUAAACCUCUUUUGUCAGGGGACAAAGGCGGCCACGGGAGGCCGUAAGUGGGUACCUGGAGAAUAAGCAUCGGCUAACUCCGUGCCAGCAGCCGCGGUAAUACGGAGGAUGCGAGCGUUAUCCGGAUUUAUUGGGUUUAAGGGGUGCGCAGGCGGCGAGUCAAGUCAGCGGGAAAAUGUCGGGGCUCAACCCCGACCGGCCGUUGAAACUGGCUUGCUCGAGUUGGAGUGAAGUAUGCGGAAUGCGUGGUGUAGCGGUGAAAUGCAUAGAUAUCACGAAGAACCCCGAUUGCGAAGGCAGCAUACCAGCUCCACACUGACGCUGAGGCACGAAAGCGUGGGUAUCGAACAGGAUUAGAUACCCUAGUAGUC
rnacentral:rRNA from 1 species